rnacentral:rRNA from 1 species
AUUGAACGCUGGCGGCAGGCCUAACACAUGCAAGUCGAACGAGUGGCGGACGGGUGAGUAAUGUCUGGGAAACAGCCCGAUGGAGGGGGAUAACUACUGGAAACGGGAGCUAAAACCGCGCACCAUCGGAUGUGCCCAGAGGGGAUUAGCUUGUAGGUGAGGUAACGGCUCACCGAGGCGACGAUCCCUAGCGGGUCUGAGAGGAUGACCAGCCACAAUGGAACUGAGACACGGUCCAGACUCCUACGGGAGGCAGCAGUGGGGAAUAUUGCACAAUGGGCGCAAGCCUGAUGCAGCCAUGCCGCGUGUAGGAAGAAGGCCUUCGGGUUGUAAAGUACUUUCAGCGGGGAGGCGUUACCAGCAGAAGAAGCACCGGCUAACUCCGUGCCAGCAGCCGCGGUAAUAC